AUCUGUUCUGCUCUUUUCUAAUCUGCUCUGCUCUAAUCUGUUCUGCUCUUUUCUAAUCUGUUCUGCUCUGUUCUAAUCUGCUCUGUUAUAAUCUGUUCUGCUCUUUUCUAAUCUGCUCUGCUCUAAUCUGUUCUACUCUGUUCUGCUCUGUUCUUCUCUGUUCUAAUCUGUUCUGCUCUGUUCUACUCUGUUCUAAUCUGCUCUGCUCUGUUCUAAUCUGCUCUAAUCUGUUCUAAUCUGUUCUAAUAUGCUCUGCUCUGCUCUAAUCUGUUCUAAUCUGUUCUGCUCUGUUCUAAUCUGCUCUGUUCUAAUCUGUUCUAAUCUGUUCUGCUCUGUUCUAAUCUGUUCUAAUCUGUUCUGCUCUGUUCUAAUCUGCUCUGUUCUAAUCUGUUCUGCUCUGUUCUAAUCUGUUCUAAUCUGUUCUUCUCUGCUCGGUGACGUCCAGAACAGAACGUAGCGUCAGUGGAUCAGCUAAUCGUCUCCUCUUUUCUCCAAACCAACCAACUGCUUCUCUCCUUAACUCUGAUUGAACAACAACGUGCUCCUUCUCUCCCGGAGAGACAGAAUGAGAACGCAAUUUAAAACGUGUUCUUUAGAGCGAUGAUGAUGAUGAUGAAGAAUUUAAAAAUACAUGAGAUUAUAUUUUUCUUUUCUUUAUACAGCAGAAUUAUGAAACCUUCAAAAUGAACAGAACAGAAAGAGAGAACCCUGAGAAGGUUCUGUUAGAGUUCCCUACAUCCUCCCACAACAGAGAGAGAAGGUUCUGUUAGAGUUCCCUACAUCCUCCCACAACAGAGAGAGAAGGUUCUGUUAGAGUUCCCUUCAUCCUCCCACAACAGAGAGAGAAGGUUCUGUUAGUGUUCCCUACAUCCUCCCACAACAGAGAGAGAGAAGGUUCUGUUAGAGUUCCCUACAUCCUCCCACAACAGAGAGAGAGAAGGUUCUGUUAGUGUUCCCUACAUCCUCCCACAACAGAGAGAGAAGGUUCUGUUAGAGUUCCCUACAUCCUCCCACAACAGAGAGAGAGAAGGUUCUGUUAGUGUUCCCUACAUCCUCCCACAACAGAGAGAGAGAGAAGGUUCUGUUAGAGUUCCCUACAUCCUCCCACAACAGAGAGAGAAGGUUCUGUUAGUGUUCCCUACAUCCUCCCACAACAGAGAGAGAAGGUUCUGUUAGUGUUCCCUACAUCCUCCCACAACAGAGAGAGAAAG
rnacentral:lncRNA from 1 species